GCCAAUUGAUAGAAAAGUUCUCUGGAUAGUAAAUUUUUGACAGCUAUGAGGUGAAUAAAAAUGUUUGAUACGGCAGGGCUAGUGAAAAAUUUGACAGCAAGCAUUAUCAAGAAGAAGAACGAACAACGCACGUAUACACAUAAAUUAAAGAAAACAAAAGCUAGUGGAAAUAAAAGAACAUGGUGCCGCCGGCAAAAAAAAAUAAAGAAAAGCUAUAUAACUUGGAGCAGUUCAGAACGCAGAAUCCUUCUGGAAAAGCGCAUUGACAAGGAUGUUUGGUUCA